UCUCCGUAGGUGAACCUGCGGAGGGAUCAUUACUGAAUGGCUCUCUGGGCCUUCAACCCCUCAAACCUGUGGACCUCAAACACUGUGCUUCGGCGCCGUUCUAGGGCGGCGUCGCUUUUAUGCAUACAGUCUGAAGUUGUCUGAUUGCUUUGAAGAUUGAAAACUUUCAACAAAGGAUCUCUUGGCUCUC
rnacentral:misc_RNA from 1 species